rnacentral:rRNA from 1 species
CUACGGGUCGCUCCAGUGGGGAAUAUUGGACAAUGGGGGCAACCCUGAUCCAGCCAUGCCGCGUGUGUGAAGAAGGCCUUAGGGUUGUAAAGCACUUUCAGAUGUGAGGAAAGGUGUGUGCUUAAUACGUACAUGCUGUGACGUUAGCAUCAGAAGAAGGACCGGCUAACUCCGUGCCAGCAGCCGCGGUAAUACGGAGGGUCCGAGCGUUAAUCGGAAUUGCUGGGCGUAAAGCGCGCGUAGGUGGUUUCGUCAGUCAGAUGUGAAAGCCCCGGGCUCAACCUGGGAAUUGCACCUGAUACUGCGGAACUAGAGUACGAUAGAGGGGAGUGGAAUUUCCGGUGUAGCGGUGAAAUGCGUAGAGAUCGGAAGGAACACCAGUGGCGAAGGCGACUCCCUGGAUUGAUACUGACACUGAGGUGCGAAAGCGUGGGGAGCAAACAGGAUUAGAUACCCUCGUAGUC